AUGGGCUGGCCUUUUAUUAGCAGUAGAAUGUUGGUGGGUUAGCUCUGCCUUGUUGUGAUAGGGGGUGAAAGGAAUUGAUGAAGAAAUGUCUUAGUUGGUUGAGGGGAUCCGAAAGAACAUUGCCCCAUCUCCUAAAGUACAAAGCUAUCAAUCUGAUUGACGUUCAAAAUGCAAUUAAGCAUCUACGCCACAGGCAGAAUGGAUGAGUGAAAGGUGUUAAUGCCAUGGAGUGAGGAAUAUCUCGUCUCAUGUAAGACAAUACAAUGCACUUUGAAGUGUUGUCGAGGAACUGCAGGCCUGCUUGAGCAUAAGAUAGGCAAUUGAGAUCUUGAGCUAGCCUAUUUGUUAUGGGGAACCAAUGCUUCAGCCGGAAUAUAGCCCGAAUAUAGCUUACCUCGAGCACCUGAUGGGAACUUUAGGAACUUCUAGCUUAUGAUUUACCCCAAAUGGUAAAGCAACACAAGCUUUGAACUUCCUUGGAACAAUAAUAAAAAAAUCUCCUCUCAAGAACAUCUUGAUGGUGAAUCUGUCCUCGUUCACAUGUGCAUUUUUCUCAAUUUUACCCGUUUUUGGAACCUAAAUACAAAGCCACAUCAGAUAGAGACUCCUAGAUGAGGCACUUCAUAUACCAUGUCCGAAUGUGUCAUGUCAUAGUUAAUCAAUGUUGCUCUA